rnacentral:rRNA from 1 species
UACGUAGGGGGCGAGCGUUGCCCGAAUUUACUGGGCGUAAAGCGCACGUAGGCGGCUUCGUAAGUCUGGUGUGAAAUCUCACGGCUCAACCGAGAGGCUGCACCAGAUACUGCGGAGCUCGAGGACGGGAGAGGAGAUCGGAAUUCCCGGUGUAGCGGUGAAAUGCAUUGAUAUCGGGAGGAACACCAGUGGCGAAGGCGGAUCUCUGGCCCGUUGCUGACGCUGAGGUGCGACAGCGUGGGGAGCAAACCGG